rnacentral:rRNA from 1 species
GGGCAUGCGGCAGCUAACACAUGCAGUCGAGCGGUAACAGAGAGUAGCUUGCUACUUUGCUGACGAGCGGCGGACGGGUGAGUAAUGCUUGGGGAUCUGCCCGGUCGAGGGGGAUAACCGUUGGAAACGACGGCUAAUACCGCAUGCGCCCUACGGGGGAAAGCAGGGGACCUUCGGGCCUUGCGCGAUUGGAUGAACCCAAGUGAGAUUAGCUUGUUGGUGAGGUAACGGCUCACCAAGGCGACGAUCUCUAGCUGGUCUGAGAGGAUGACCAGUCACACUGGGACUGAGACACGGCCCAGACUCCUACGGGAGGCAGCAGUGGGGAAUAUUGCACAAUGGGGGAAACCCUGAUGCAGCCAUGCCGCGUGUGUGAAGAAGGCCUUCGGGUUGUAAAGCACUUUCAGUGGUGAGGAAAGGAGGUUGGCUAAUACCUGACCUCUGUGACGUUAACCACAGAAGAAGCACCGGCUAACUCCGUGCCAGCAGCCGCGGUAAU